rnacentral:lncRNA from 1 species
GAGUCAAAACACUAAGAAAGAGCUGAGAAGCGGGCCAAUAAAGAGCCAAGAGAAAAAAAAUGGAGGAAGAGAGAAUUUCCACGGAAAUUACUGAGUGGAAAACCCUUUCCUUGAUCUCAUGGGCCCAUGCCAGCCUCGGGCCAACUUCGAAGUUAAAAGAAGGAAGCCAGUAAGGAACCUGUCCAGGAGCUAAUUCUGCCUUUCCUAAGGAACCAUCACUGGCUGGAGCCCAAGAGCAGAGUACAGGCUAUGCUGUGCCCUGAGAAGAGAUGAGUACAUGCGCCCAGCCCAUGGAACACUGGGAGCAGCUCACACCAUCCGGAAACUCUUCCCUAUUUCAAAGCUGGAAUUCCUCCUUCCUUAAUGCGUCCCCCACUUCCUUUCCCCUUUUCCUCAUGUGGCUGUGUUCUUGCCAGCAAAGAAAGUUGAAAAGGAACAAAGGCAUAUGGUUUUCCUAUUAAGACUGACGCCCACGUGUGAGGGGAGCCAGAGGGAAGUGUUCAAAUAAGGGCAACGGAAAUACAUUUAUGUGACACUCA